UUGGUGGAAUGGCCUUCUCUCCUACUUCAUCACCCGGAUACAGCCCAUCAUCACCAGGCUACAGUCCGUCAUCUCCUGGAUACAGUCCCACGUCACCUGGAUACAGCCCAACUUCGCCUGGAUACAGUCCCACCUCGCCUGGAUAUAGCCCUACCUCACCAACUUAUAGUCCAAGUUCUCCUGGUUAUAGUCCAACCAGUCCUGCCUAUUCUCCUACCAGUCCAUCGUACUCACCUACUUCACCAAGCUAUAGCCCAACCUCCCCAAGUUACAGCCCAACAUCCCCAAGCUACAGCCCGACCUCUCCAAGUUACAGCCCCACUUCUCCCAGUUACAGUCCAACUUCACCAAGCUAUAGCCCCACCUCACCGGCAUAUAGCCCCACCUCACCUGCAUAUAGCCCCACCUCACCUGCAUACAGCCCCACUUCACCAUCGUACAGCCCAACCUCUCCUUCCUACAGCCCAACAUCACCUUCGUACAGCCCUACCUCACCGUCAUACAGCCCCACUUCUCCAUCGUACAGCCCCACUUCACCAGCCUAUAGCCCCACUUCUCCUGGUUAUAGUCCAACUUCACCAAGUUAUAGCCCAACUUCACCAACCUAUAGUCCUACAUCCCCAAGCUACAAUCCUCAGUCUGCCAAAUACAGUCCGUCGCUGGCCUACUCACCAAGUAGUCCAAGAUUAUCUCCUGCCAGUCCGUACAGCCCUACAUCUCCAAAUUACAGGUAAGCCAUAGUGCGAUAUGUGGUCAAGUCUAAUGUUUGUGUUAAAAGCUGUAUCCAAUUUAUUAGGUCUUGUUUUUGAUAGAAUUCUAUAUACUGAAAUAUCUGUUGAACCUAAGACUUGCUGUAGCUGGGGAUUGGACUUGGAUGGGUUUAAAUUAUUAAUGAUUUUAUCUCUGUUGUUUUUAACAUUAUUAUAUCUGGAUGAUUAUGUUGAUGUAUCUUGUAAGCAACUUUUCUUUUUACGCAGUCCAACAUCAUCUUCGUAUUCACCGACAUCUCCCUCUAUGAUACUGGACCAAUGAUGAGAUGUUCAUUUGAAGAAACGGUUGACAUUCUUCUUGAUGCUGCAGUCUUUGCAGAAUCAGAUUAUUUGAGGGGGGUCACUGAGAAUAUAAUGUUAGGUCAGCUUGCGCCUAUUGGGACAGGAGACUGUUCAUUGUAUCUCAAUGAUGAGAUGCUGAAAAAUGCCAUCGAACUUCAGCUUCCUAGUUAUAUGGAAGGUCUGGAGUUUGGCAUGACACCUGCUCGUUCUCCGGUGUCUGGGACUCCUUAUCAUGAUGGCAUGAUGUCUCCAGGUUACUUGUUUAGCCCAAAUCUCCGUCUGUCCCCGGUCACGGAUGCCCAGUUUUCUCCUUAUGUUGGUGGAAUGGCCUUCUCUCCUACUUCAUCACCCGGAUACAGCCCAUCAUCACCAGGCUACAGUCCGUCAUCUCCUGGAUACAGUCCCACGUCACCUGGAUACAGCCCAACUUCGCCUGGAUACAGUCCCACCUCGCCUGGAUAUAGCCCUACCUCACCAACUUAUAGUCCAAGUUCUCCUGGUUAUAGUCCAACCAGUCCUGCCUAUUCUCCUACCAGUCCAUCGUACUCACCUACUUCACCAAGCUAUAGCCCAACCUCCCCAAGUUACAGCCCAACAUCCCCAAGCUACAGCCCGACCUCUCCAAGUUACAGCCCCACUUCUCCCAGUUACAGUCCAACUUCACCAAGCUAUAGCCCCACCUCACCGGCAUAUAGCCCCACCUCACCUGCAUAUAGCCCCACCUCACCUGCAUACAGCCCCACUUCACCAUCGUACAGCCCAACCUCUCCUUCCUACAGCCCAACAUCACCUUCGUACAGCCCUACCUCACCGUCAUACAGCCCCACUUCUCCAUCGUACAGCCCCACUUCACCAGCCUAUAGCCCCACUUCUCCUGGUUAUAGUCCAACUUCACCAAGUUAUAGCCCAACUUCACCAACCUAUAGUCCUACAUCCCCAAGCUACAAUCCUCAGUCUGCCAAAUACAGUCCGUCGCUGGCCUACUCACCAAGUAGUCCAAGAUUAUCUCCUGCCAGUCCGUACAGCCCUACAUCUCCAAAUUACAGGUAAGCCAUAGUGCGAUAUGUGGUCAAGUCUAAUGUUUGUGUUAAAAGCUGUAUCCAAUUUAUUAGGUCUUGUUUUUGAUAGAAUUCUAUAUACUGAAAUAUCUGUUGAACCUAAGACUUGCUGUAGCUGGGGAUUGGACUUGGAUGGGUUUAAAUUAUUAAUGAUUUUAUCUCUGUUGUUUUUAACAUUAUUAUAUCUGGAUGAUUAUGUU
rnacentral:lncRNA from 1 species